rnacentral:rRNA from 1 species
AUGGAAUCUUCGCAUCAUUGUUGUCAGAGAUUUUUCAUCUUUGACAAGAGGCUUCCCGUACUCGUAUCUGUGUUCGUCCACCGCCAUGAAAUCAGGAAGUGCAUCGUCAGGCAGGUAAUCUUCAAGAUUGCCAUAACCGGCCACCGUCCCCGGAGCAUUAGACACAUUGAGCGGGGGGCACGAUUGCUGUGCUUGUUCGCCGAGCUGGGCAAUUUUUUCCCCUUUGCUCGUUCUUUUAACCUUUUAUCACUGACAGUAGUUCCCGGCCGCUGGGCUUGGAGAUAUGUCUGUUCAGUAAUGCGAUCAUAG